AGGAGGUCAAAAUACCAACAUUGAGAGGAGUUUGGAAGAGGUUGAUUCCAACCCUCAUGGAUAACACUGAGGAUUAAAGACUUGAGUGGAGGAACUAACUGCAGAUGUGGUGGAAAUAGCAAGAGAACUAUUAAUAGAAUUGGAAGGGAAGCCUGAAGAUAUGCCUGAAUUGCCACAAUCUCAUGAUAAAACUUGGAUGGAUAAGGAGUUGUUUCCUAUGGAUGAGCAAAGAGUGGUUACAUGAGUCCUGGUGGAGAUGCUGUGAACAUUGUGGAAAUGACAACAAAGGAUUUAGAAUAUUACAUAAACUUAGUUGAUAAUGCAGCACCAGGAUUGGAGAAGACUCCAAUUUAGAAAGAAUUUUACGGUGGGUGAAAUGUUAUCAAACAUCACGGGCUGCAGAGAACUCUUUCUUGAAAGCAAGAGUCAAUGGUUACAUCAAACUUCAUUGUUGUCUUAUUUUAAGAAACGACCAUAACCACCCCAACCUUCACCAACCUCCACCCUGAUCCAUCAGCAGCCAUGAACCAUCAAAGCAAGACUCCACCAGCGAAAAGAUUCCACCUUGUUGAAGGCUCGCAUGAUCAUUAGCAUUUGUUAGGAAUAAAGCAUUUUUAAAUGAAGGUAUGCACAAAAUGAUAUUGCAAACUAAAUAGACUACAGUACAGCAUAAGUGUAACUUUUAUAUGUACUGGGAAACAAAUUUAUGCGACUUGCUUUAUUACAGUGGUCUGGAACUGAGCCCACUAUCUCCAAGGUCUGCCUGUACAAACAUUUCUGUGAAAGGGGCACCCUCUCUAGCUGCGGCACGGAAGAAGGAAAGGGCAUGCAAGGAUUUCUCUCUGGGGCUUUCUUUUCUGGAGUCCCUAAUUAGUGUUCCCUCUAUGCUGGGGUGGCUCAGUGGAACAUUGAGUGAUCCAAGCCCAGUGGCUCUAGAUUAGGUAUUUUGCUUCUCCUGCCUGGGCCUCGUUAGAAGAAUGUGUUUCUAAACACCAUAGAUCUCUUGUAAAGAAUUUGAGCACAGAGGCACUUUGGAAUUCAAAGUUACAAUUAAAACAGAAGAGUAAUCUACAAAGUUCAUGUAAUUUCUGGGUUUUUUUUUUUUUUUUUGGCUGAAACAGCUUUAUACUUUUAUAAGCCUGGAACCAAAUGACUUAACCAAAACUUCGUGGUGUUUCAUCUCUUUCUGAGCAUUUCUGUUCUGAAUUCCUCUCUGAGGUCACUUUUUCCACUGCAGCCCCCAGCAGGAGGCCUCUUCACUACUGCAGCACAGUGGUUCCUGCCAACGUCCAUAGCUCUAUACAGAAGCUCUUUAUUCGUCUGCUGUAUUUUACCUUGACUAUUUACAUGGGCAGAAUAAUGUGCUAUGCUCUGAACAAUUAAUACUACAAUUUUCCUUCUUGCUGGCCAAUAACUGUUCUCUUCCUUACCACUCUCAUUCCCACAGCCUAAUCCUCUUAAUGACCCUUGAAUAAGUACUGCCUGUGCUCACAAGGAACGAGAAUGGAAAAAUCACAUGUCUCUUGGUUCUGGAGGUCCGAAGUUCCAGAUUAAGGUGUUCAUGGACUCUUGAGGGCUCUUUCCUUGGCUUGAAGAUGGCAGCCUUCUGGCUGUGUCCUCACAAGGGCUUUCCUCUGUGGUGCAUGGAGAGACUAGCAAUAGUUUGUGGAUUGAUACCUGUGUGGACUCUACUUUGAGUGGCACGUGUUAAGAGGUCAGUUGAGAAGUGACUAGGGCCUGAUCUCCAACAGUAGCCCAGGUGUAUGGUCAGGAUGGGUCUGAUGACAAUGCAGUCACCUGUGACUUAGUUUAACAGAUGUUUGUUUCUUGCUCUCAUUACAUGUCCAUUGCACAUCGACUGGGGCUUCUUACUCCGGGAAUCACGUUGACAGAGCCUCCACCAUCUGGAAUGUCAUCCGUUCCAGUGGCAGGAGGCAGAGAGUGCUGCAGUGUCACUCUCUGCAACUAAAUGCUUCCACUGGAAGCCACAUAUGUCAUUCCUGCCACCUUUCCCUGGCCAGCAAGUGACAUGGCUGCCACGAUCAACCUUAAGAAGGAGGAGAAGUGCAAUUCUACGAUUUUCCUGGACUGAGGAGAAGGAGUAUUCAGAGAACAGCAUUCCCAGGCAAUGGAAAGGGGAGGGGAGAGAGCCAGAAGGGUCUGGAUUUGUUACCUGCGCUCAGAAGGGAGAUCAUGUGUGUAUCAGGAACCCAGGGUCACUGAGACUUUCUUCUCCCUCCCCUGAUGCAGCAGGCGCUAUUCCCCAGACUCGUGGUCCUGGUCUUUACUUCCUAAGAAUGGACAAAGAAAGCAGAGAGAGUUAGGGGACGGACAUCAGCCCUCAGGGUUUCCCCUGAGUCACACAGGCGUAGGCUGAAAUGUGCAUUACCAUGCCGUGCCCUCGGUCCACGUAAGUCACCCAGAGUCCUCUAAACCUCGGCCACGAGAUCUUUCAGAUCUGGGUCUCUCUUGCCUAUUUGUCUUGAGCUCCUUGAAAAUAUUUGGUCUGAACUCCAUGGGCAUGUGGGGGAACUUUCAGGCUGUUUCAGGCCCUCUCUGUGUAGGUAAUCCUUUUGCAGCCAGAUGCUCUCUGCCGUCUACACAGAAAGACGGCUGAAGGGCCCCAAGAGCUGGGGUCUGUGGGGGCCUUACCUGAGCCUGGGGGCAGCAGCGGGAGGCUGUGGGGUGGGCGUGGGUGCUGGCCACAGACCCCCUCCACGUUUCCUCUGUUUUCCCUGGACUCUCUGUUGUCUCUCCUCUGCACCAGGAGCUCAGGCGGACAGGGUCAGGACAGAGGGGACAGAACAUGGGCGUCUGCUCUGUGACCUAUUCAUGGGUCUAACUCUUCUGCUUUUGCUCCCUUUUCUUUCCACAGUUUUUUCUUUCUAGUUUUAUCUUGUCUUAGGGGUAGAAAAAACUAAUUUUGAGCAUUUCCAGAUCUAUUUUUCUUCCAAACAUGCUGUUUUUGCCAAGAUUUCAGGUUUUGAAAUCCAAAAGCCAAGAAUUUGCCUCUUUUGUUCCAUAGCAUAAUCCUGUCCCUGAGGCCGUGUGCCAAGAAGGCCUAUAUGGGAAAAAGUUCACAGGAGGAAAUCAAGACCCUGAGAAGUUGCAUAGCCACAGAGCUGAGAUGUGGAACCGCUGGAAUACGAAGAAAGCAUUUCGGACACCAAGUCCCACGCCUUCUGUCGUGGCAGGUGAGUUCCCAGGGCCCUAUGAGUGCCCGGGCAGAGCCCACAGCUGAGAUUCCGCCUGGAGAGGAUGGAGUCCACAGUUAGGGAAGCACAAUCCGCUGGGGCUGUUCUCUUCAGACAUCUCCAUGGGCAGAGCAGUUCUGAGGUGUGAGGUGGGCUCCCACCCUCUUCUGAUGACCAGGCUGAGGAGGGGAGGGGAGGGGGCUGCGGACCCCCCACCCGCAUGAGGGGACGCCAGGCGGCCCACUGUUGGGCUGCUGCGCUCUCUGCCGGCGCCUCUCGGGGCCGCCCUGUCUCUGUGUGGGUCCCUCCAGAAGUCAACCCUGAGGAGAGGAUUUGAGUGCACGCAGUUGAUCUGUGAAGUGCAGGAGACAGCCUUGGUCAGUGUAGGAGCAAAACAGGGACGAGAAGGUGGCCAAUAACAGGUAUGUCAUUAUUCCGGCUUCCACACUGAGCGCCACAGGGAAACAACACACGCCUCAGAAUGAUCCCACCCGAAGGUGAAGGAGCUGAGGUACUUCUGCCCUAUCUCUGCGGCAUCACUGCUUGAGGGCCACUCCCAGGGAUGUCACCGGCAGGCGACCAGAAGCAACGUCGCCUUCCGCACUUCAACUGUGUGGUCUGAGGGAUCUGAGAGAAACACUGCCGAGGGCUGUCAGACACCCUUCAGCCCCAUUCUGUGUGGAGGCGGAAACAGCCUUAUUUGCGGAAAGCCCAGGGUGGAUUCUCUCUUUCUCACCAUGGGGUUGACGUCCGCGGACAAACCCGCCCGCUAUCAAAAAGUUCCCACCACACUGCCUGCUGUGGUGCCUGAGAUUUGUGCCACAAGUCACCAGGCUCCAGCAGCCACCAAUAAAAGAACUCAGUACGGGGACCCAUGACUCGUUCGACUGAAUGGAACAGCCACAGACUCAUUGCUCUGCUUGAGUUUUCACCAGCCAGUUUCCUUCUGACUCUUCUCUUAGCAACCCGACAUUGAUAUAAAUGAGCUCUUUUCUCUAAAAAGAAAAAGCACUACCACCACCACCAACUCACUUAUUAGCAGUGAGACUUUGGGCAAAUGACUUGACUCUCAGUUUAUUCACUGAGAAAAUGUAAAGAAUGCCUCUGGCGUCCUGGGCUGUGGUGAGGGCUCGGUAGGGUUGUGUGGACUGAACUGUGCUCUCCUCACCCCCACUCAUAUGCUGAAGCUCUAAUCUCCAACAUGACUGUAUUGGAAUCAGGACUUAUAUAUAGAUAACCAAGUUAACGUGAAGUCAUAAGGAUGGGACCUUAAUUCAGUAGGACUGCUGUCCUUAUAAGAAGAGGAAGAGACACCAGAGAUCUCUCUCUUUUCCCCCAAUGUACACAGAAGAACGGCCAUAUGAGGACACAGCAAGAAGGUGGCCAUCUUCAAGGAAGAGGGGCAUCACCAGAAACUAAAUUUUCCUGCACCUAGAUCUGGGAUUUCUUGUGUCCAGAAUUGCGAUAAAAUUAAUUUCUGUUGUUUAAGCCACCAGGGCUGUGGUAUUUUGUUACGGCAGCCCUAGCAGACUAGCACGGGGCAACUCAUUUAAAGGUUUUCAGUGCAGCACUGGUCACAGGUAGAGAUCCAUUGAGUAAUGAUACCAUAUCAAUCAUUAUUGAUAGUGGCAUUAUCAAUAAUUGCCAUUGUUAUUGCUUCUAAUAAAACACCCACCUUUCUAGGAGGGAGAGAGAAAUCUGGAAACUCUAAUACUACACAGUCUGCGAAUCCGUUUUAAACUUCUGAUGAGAAAUUGAAGGCAUUGGAAAGAAAGCAAACCACAUCCACUGAAAUUUUCCAAUCCUAUUUCUGUAUAUAAGUUGUAACGAUUUGUGUCAAAUUAUAUGAUGGUAUCUUUCCUCUGAGAGACUUAACGUGCUUGUGCCAACUACUUAUCCAUCAGCAAAUGUUUACGUCCUGGGGAUGAGCUAAGGGGAUGUCUUAGAGGGCCGGGUGCCUGAGGCUAGGCCUGUGCACAGAGGGGCACUAAUCAAAUCAGAUACUUGAGCUGGUUCCACCUUUCCUGUUGUUUAUGCCACGCAGUCUGGAAGUGGGCCAGGCUGGUCGGCUUUAGGAAUUGCAGAGUUGAGCUUACAGUACAAGACAGAUUUUACUUCGAGUCCAAGUCUGACUUGACUAAUGACUGUUCCAUCACUUCUAGAAGUCCAGCUAACUCUGACUCACAGGCAUAUCAGCGAGAAGGACCUCCUAAGACUCUGCCCUCUCACCAAAGCUCUGAGGUUCUGGUUUCAUAAUGUUCACAGCCCCGGGGACGGCCCCAGUCAGUCCCUCUGUGUGGACUUCUGGGCUGCAGACCCCCUGUAGACGGAUGGGGGAGGAGGGCAGCAAUUGCCUCUGCAGCAACUGCAAUUCUUUUUGCCUUCAUUUCCAAUCCCAAUGAAUGCCUUAGAGAUGGUACUGAAAUUUAUCGGAGAAAUAGAGUCAUCUGGGAUCAUUGGUCAGAAUUCUAAAUGAUGUAGAAAGUGGAAGAAAAAUGCACUGACUUCUGAUAAAUGGGAAAGGGGCUACAUUGGUUUAAUUAAAACCAGUUGAAGGCCGGGCGCAGUGGCUCACACCUGUAAUCCUAGCACUCUGGGAGGCCGAGGCAGGCAG